UGACCCAAGCCAGAGCAAUCAGCACUAGAUCGAGUCGAGCGGCUCUCAGCCAAUUAAAUUACGCUGUUUGAUCACAUGACAUGUUAGCCGGCAGUGUCUUCUGAAAAGAGAGCUGUUUAGAGGUGAGUGAUUAAGUUUUUCUCCUAAAUAGAGAUCAUUACAGAACGCCUAGUCCUACUUAAAAUACCAUUCAUUUUUCUUUUAUUUUAUCAUCUACUCGAACUGAGGAAAACGUUUGACUAACUCAAAGAAAAUUUCCGCGCCUCCCCUGCCUGUCUGCAGAGGCAGUUUUGAAUUCAGGAGCGGCAUGAUGGCAGCGGCAAACCCUGGCGGUUCUCCGGGUUCGUGGCAACCACGGAUGGGAAAAUGUGGAGGUUGCACGGCUGAUGUUUACUGUUCGUGGCACAGGAAGAGGCAGUUUCAUUUCAGGAAUGAGUGUGCACAAUCAAAGAAUAGAGCGACUGUGGGGAGACCUCUGGGUGGCCGUUACAUGCAUUUACUACGAUGUUCUUCACAACCCUGAGGAAGAAGGCCUUCUUGACAUUUCAAAUGCUGCACACCUCUUUUGCUGCCAUUACAUCUUUCUUCCUCGACUAGAGGAUAAUUUUAAUACAUUUUGCAGUGGAUGGGACAACCAUCCACUGCGAACAGAAAACAACAUGAGUCCCCCAACCAGCUGUGGGAGUUGGGUCACAGAUAUUACCCUGUUCCUGUUCCAGAAAACACACAGCUUAUCACACAUUUGAUUUCCAUGUGUGACGACUGCAAGUGUCCAGAGUGAGGACAGACUGAGGGACCCACUGCUGCACAUCAUCUGUGAGGCUUUGCACCCCUGAUGAUCCACCAGGACAA